UGCAAAUGAAGCAAGGUUAAAGUCUCUUAUGAGGCCUAACUGGUUUUGUCUGCUUAGGGAUUCUUCAGGCCAGGUCUCCGGUCUAAUUUACUUUAACAGGAGGUAGAGGAAAUGUAACCGAUUGAAAGAAUUUUAUCUGGACCUUCCACAUAGGAAUUAUCCAGACUGCCUUGCCACUAGAUGAAUGGAAGACAAUGAUUUGAACUAAGGGCCAGCAAAGAAUUAUCCCUGGUUUUUGUGCUUUGCAGCAUUCCUCAAAUUGUUUUCACAUCUCUUACCAUAAAAACUGCAUUGAAAUUGAAAAUGAAGCAGUUGAAAAGAAAAAGGAAAAGCAAUUUUAGUGUUCAAGAAACUCAGACCCUUUUGAAAGAAAUUACGAAAAGGAAAGAAGUCAUUUUUUCCAAGCAGCUCAAUACAACAAUUAAUGUGAUGAAGCGAAUGGCUUGGGAAGAGAUUGCACAGUGUGUGAAUGCUGUAGGAGAAGGAGAACAGAGGACAGGGACAGAGGUGAAAAGAAG
rnacentral:lncRNA from 1 species